CCGAGUUAUCCAACUCCCAACCCCUGUGAAUUAUACCUUUAAUUGUUGCUUCGGCGGGACUUCGCGCCCGCCGGGGACCCAAACCUUCUGAAUUUUUUAAUAAGUAUCUUCUGAGUGGUUAAAAAAAAUGAAUCAAAACUUUCAACAACGGAUCUCUUGGUUCUGGCAUCGAUGAAGAACGCAGCGAAAUGCGAUAAGUAAUGUGAAUUGCAGAAUUCAGUGAAUCAUCGAAUCUUUGAACGCACAUUGCGCCCGUCAGUAUUCUGGCGGGCAUGCCUGUUCGAGCGUCAUUACGCCCCUCAAGUCCCCUGUGGACUUGGUGUUGGGGAUCGGCGAGGCUGGUUUUCCAGCACAGCCGUCCCUUAAAUUAAUUGGCGGUCUCGCCGUGGCCCUCCUCUGCGCAGUAGUAAAGCACUCGCAACAGGAGCCCGGCGCGGUCCACUGCCGUAAAACCCCCCAACUUUUUAUAG
rnacentral:rRNA from 1 species